rnacentral:lncRNA from 1 species
UUCAACACAAAUUGGUCAAAUGAGGACUUUUACCAAAUUAAGAUCAUCCAUUCAUUUUGGGAGAUGGAAUGUACAUUCCAUCAAUCCCCUAAAUCCAAUGACCUUAACAUAACAAAGUCAAAUCAACCUUGACCAAGGCUCAACAACACAAGUCAAACUCAACAAGUCAAUUAAAAUGGCUAUACGCAAUUAAUUUGGCAUUUAAACAAUUAAAAUAAAAAUAAUAUGUAUUAAAUUAAAUUAUGGUUGAUCAAUUUCCUAAAACCUCAUCAAAAC